AAUCAGUACCUUCCAGAAGCACCUCCAUUCCUCUACAACUUUCACUGUCAGCAGAAAUAGUGGGAGAGGAAUCGACGGAGGGGAGUCCGGGCAUGAGGAGGGCAAAAACGAUCUCAUCCAUCUCUAACCUCUCAUUUUCUUGAAAACUCUCUUCCCGGCGCCACUUUCUCCGGGGAGCUCGCAUACAUUAGUAGCUCUCUACACCACAGUGGAGGAGUAGCUGAUCCGAGUCAGUUGAAUAACGACGAGAAGAAAGUUCAGUGGAGUUCUUUCUAUGUUUGUUCUAGCCCACUAAUGGAGUUCCAUUUUAAUGACGGAGAUUAGAUUUAUUCCGAAUGGGGGAGUGACGCACAAGGGUUAUGCGUCGUUAUUAAUGAAACGCGCAACCCUUAUGCGUCUUUGGUUAAUGACGCACAAGGGUUAUGCGUCGUUCAAAGACGCAUAAGCAUUAUGCGUCUUACCCUAAUGACGCAUAACCCUUAUGCGUAACGCUGGUAAGCAUUCCUGCCUGUCGUGCGGGUGACCCGGGUUCGAUCCCCAGCAACGGCGCAUUUUUUUUAAGUGAUUAGUAUUUGAUAAAAAUGAGUUAUUCUAAACAUUUGUUUUUGGCAAAUAGAUAUUACUCUUAUAAAAGAAUUAAUUAAAGAAGUUAAUUGGAAUUAUUUUACGAAUUUGAUAGACACUUCGCAUAAGCUUCUUUUGUUACAAAUAUUUCUCAAAUAAUUUCAUUUGUAUAAUGACUUCGUAUUGAUAUUCCACCCUGAUUUGGCGUAUUGAAGAAAAUGCAAAUGAAGACGUAUGGGGUUGUAUCUAUCUUCUACUAACAAGGAGCUGAAGGAGCUGGAGAGGGGAUAUGAGGGUUUGUUGGAAGAUAAUUGUAGGGGUUUUGCAAGGUAUUUUAAGCAAGUGCUGAGAAGAGGUAAUGGAGAGGAGAUGAUUUUGCCACCUAAAAUAGUAUUUCGUGAAUGUGAAAGUGAUGAUCGUUUAACUUCGUGGGAUGGAGAUGAUGAACAGAGGAUCAAAAGCCAUGGAUUUCAGUCUCCAAACAGACGUUUAAUGUAAUGCUUUGUUUCUUUUUUUUUCUUUCAUGCAAAAUUUAUCUUACAAAAGUGGAUAAGAAAAAAAAAGUAUAAUUUUUUAAUCAUAUUUAACUA